rnacentral:rRNA from 1 species
UACGAAGGGGGCUAGCGUUGUUCGGAAUCACUGGGCGUAAAGCGCACGUAGGCGGCCCGGUAAGUCGGAUGUGAAAGCCCUCGGCUCAACUGAGGAAGUGCAUUCGAAACUGCCAGGCUUGAAUAUGGAAGAGGGUCGCGGAAUUCCCGGUGUAGAGGUGAAAUUCGUAGAUAUCGGGAGGAACACCAGUGGCGAAGGCGGCGACCUGGGCCAAUAUUGACGCUGAGGUGCGAAAGCGUGGGGAGCAAACAGG